rnacentral:rRNA from 1 species
CCUACGGGCGGCUGCAGUGGGGAAUAUUGGACAAUGGGGGCAACCCUGAUCCAGCCAUGCCGCGUGUGUGAAGAAGGCCCUCGGGUUGUAAAGCACUUUCAGUGAGGAAGAACGCCUGGUGGUUAAUACCCAUCAGGAAAGACAUCACUCACAGAAGAAGCACCGGCUAACUCCGUGCCAGCAGCCGCGGUAAUACGGAGGGUGCGAGCGUUAAUCGGAAUUACUGGGCGUAAAGCGCGCGUAGGUGGCUUGAUAAGCCGGUUGUGAAAGCCCCGGGCUCAACCUGGGAACGGCAUCCGGAACUGUCAAGCUAGAGGGCAGGAGAGGAAGGUAGAAUUCCCGGUGUAGCGGUGAAAUGCGAAGAGAGCGGGAGGAAUACCAGUGGCGAAGGCGGCCUUCUGGACUGACACUGACACUGAGGUGCGAAAGCGUGGGUAGCAAACAGGAUUAGAUACCCUGGUAGUC